rnacentral:rRNA from 1 species
GAUGAACGCUGGCUGUGUGGAUAAGGCAUGCAAGUCGAAAGCAUUUAGUUGCUUGGCGAACGAGGUAGUAACACGUAGGAUUACAUGCCCUUGAGUCAGGGAUAACCCGGAGAAAUCCGGAAUAAUACCUGAUAGUCUCGAAAGAGUAAAGAUUUAUCGCUCAAGGAUUGGCCUGCGGGGUAUCAGCUUGUUGGUAGUGUAAUGGACUACCAAGGCUAUGACGCCUAGGGGAGGUGAGAGCCUGGCCCCCACCGAUGGAACUGAGACACGGUCCAUACUCCUACGGGAGGCCGCAGUCGAGAAUCUUCCACAAUGGACGAAAGUCUGAUGGAGCGACACAGCGUGGUCGAAGAAGCGCCUCGGCGUGUAAAGACCUUUUAUGAGUGAAGAAGUUUAUUGACAUUAGCUCAUGAAUAAGGGGCUGCUAAUCACG